AACGAACGCUGGCGGCAUGCCUAACACAUGCAAGUCGAACGAGACCUUCGGGCUUGGUGGCGCACGGGUGCGUAACGCGUGGGAUCAUGCCCAUAGGUUUGGCAUAACUCCCCGAAAGGGGUGCUAAUACCGGAUAUUGUCCUCGGACCAAAGUUUGAUCGCCUUUGGAUGUGCCUGCGUUGGCUCACCUUGUUGCUAGGGUAAAAGCCUACCAAGGCGACGAUACAUAGCUGGUCUGAGAGGAUGAUCAGCCACACUGGGACUGAGACACGGCCCAGAAUCCUACGGGAGGCAGCAGUGGGGAAUAUUGGACAAUGGGCGAAGGCCUGAUCCAGCAAUGCCGCGUGAGUGAUGAAGGCCUUAGGGUUGUAAAGCUCUUUUACCCGGGAUGAUAAUGACAGUACCGGGAGAAUAAGCUCCGGCUAACUCCGUG
rnacentral:rRNA from 1 species